rnacentral:lncRNA from 1 species
GAAUAAUCUAGAAUAACACAAAUAUCACCAAAAGUCACCCAAUCAGAAAUCACUGAUUCCCGUCCUACCUAUCAACCAUCAUUUCUCUCUUUAUGAAUGGUUUCAGUUCUCAAGGAAAGCUUUAUCACCAAAAACCUAUUCAUCUACUUUAUUGAGGCUUUCCUUCCUUAUUUCCUCUUCUCUGGUUCUUGCACCCUAUCGGUUUCCUUUUGGUUUUCGGCAUAUCCAGUGACACUUUUAACUAGGUACACCUCCUCCAUUUUCAACGAUUUUGUUGCUAGUAUAUGUGCUAAAACGUUUGCUGAUCUCGGGGUAUAUACAAACAUUAAAUUUCUAGAUCUAACUGUUAUCUGUUGAAUAUCAUGUAUGUAUACUCCUACCUGUGAUUUGUCUUGACUUUUUGCCUUGUAUUUUUUUAUUAUUGAUAAUGAGUUUCCUUCGAUAAUGAUCUUCGGCCACUGCAUUUCAAUUCCUAUUUGGACUACUUUUCGACAUGCAAACGCUUUAUCAGCGAAGGCCGAUGCCACCUCUUGAUGAAUUUCUGAACAAGAUAAGAGGGUGGUCCCUUCAUUGUUUCUGGCCACAAUCCCCGAAGCAGAUUAGAAAUGACGCCCAUCGUAUGCUCCGUCAAAAUUGAUUUUUACGGACGCACCAGGUGGGUAACUCCAUUUUUUAAACCCCUUUAAAAUAAUGGGAAUUCUUUUUUCAACACUAUUUAAUUAGGUAAUAUAAUUAUUGACGAAACUCACUAUUUCCUGACCAGUGCCACUUUUCUUAUCAUGCAUUCUAGCAUUCCUUUCUCCCCAAAUGGCCCAUAGUACACAACAAAAAAGUCGGCUUUGGAAAAAGGGAUAUUGAACGAAAACCCAGGUAAGCCACUGUAAAAAAUCCAUAUUAGAAUCCAUUACAAUAUUCGGGAUUGAUAAUGUUGCCUAGACUUCCACUGAAACAGGGCAUUUGCGGAAGAGGUGAUCAAUUAUUUCUGCUCUUCCUCCACAUCAAGGGCAAGUUGUAAUGUUAACUAGCUUUCUGUGCUGCAUGUUAACCCGUAUAGGAAAAUAAUUCCAUGAUAUUCUCCAGAUUGUAAUCUUGAUUUUAGUAGGGAGAUUUUGGAGCCAAAGUUUUUUUUGUAGAAAUUCCAGUAGUUGGUUUGUAAAACAUAAGCUCUAGGGUUUUCGCCAGAAUUUUGUAAUAGUUUAUAAGCGCUACAGACCGAGUACUCUCCCGAAGAUUCACUACUCCAUAAAAGACAGUCAUCGUGGGGUUCUUUCGCCAACAAGAUACGGAGGAUAUUUUCAGCAUCUUCUUCCGAAAAGGUAUUGACAAUCAGCUCCCAUUUUCAUAUUCUUUCAUUACUAUCAAUUAACUCAACAACUUUAGAAUCUCACAUAUUAUAAACAAAUGAAGAUAAUCUAAGAUUUUCUACAUCUGGAAUCCAAGCAUCGUUAUUAAUUGAAACAUUCAUACCUGUACCCACCCUCCAACAAAGUCCUUUCACUAAAACACCCUUCGUCUCCUAGAUACUUCUCCAUAUAUAAGAACUUGUAUUUUCCAAUCGAGAAUUUAGAAAAUCAUCAUUCGAAAAAUACUUUUAUUUUAGCAUUCAUGCAACCAGAGAGUUUGGGUUAUUUAUAAUCCUCCACCCUUGCUUCACUAGUAAUGAGAUGUUAAACUAAGUCAUACUUUUAAAACCCAUUCCCCCCUCUUCUUUUGAACGGCACAUAUGCUUCUACUGGCACCAAUGUAUUCCUUUUUUCCCAUGGUCUUUUUGCCACCAAAAUUUAGCAAAAAUGUUUUCUAAUUCCCCACAUAAAGAUUUUGGUAGAAGAAAGCAUGACAUAGCAUAAGUUGGUAUUGCCUGGAGCAUUGAUUUAAUGAAGACCUUCUUACCCCAUUGUGAUAGUAACCUUGUACUCCAUCAUUCAAUUCGCAAAUAAGCCAUAUCUUUUAGAUUUUGAAAGGACUCUUCCUUUCGUCUUCCGACCACAUUAGGGAGUCCUAAGUAUUUUUCCAGAUUUGUUGAGCUUCUUACACCUAAUAAUGUCGAGAUUUUUUCUUUUUUCCCCUCUAUUGUGUUCAAGCUAUAGAAGAUCGUUGAUUUAUUAAAAUUUACACAUUGGCCUGAACAUCGUUCGUAUUCCUUCAUAAUUUCUUUCAAUAUCAACACUCCUCUAUUUGUUGCUUCACUGAAUAGAAUACAAUCAUCUGCGAAAAGUAAGUGUGAUAUCUCUGGUCCCCUUCUGCUAGCUUUUGCUCCUUUUAACAAGCCAUCUCUCAUUGCUAGUCUCAUCAAAGAUGAAAGUCCUUCACUACAUAUCAGAAAAAGGAAAAGACUAAGUGGAUCGCCUUCUCGAAGCUCUCUGGUAGGUUGAAAAAUGUUUCCCCUUCUCCCAUUAAUGUUUACUGCAUAAGAAACUGUGGAGAUACAUUUCAUAAUUAGUGCCACCCAUUCCCCUAAAAAGCCCAUCUGUAGCAUUACUUCCUUUAGAAAACCCCAUUCAACUAUAUCGUAAGCUUUGCUCAUAUCUAACUUCACUGUAUAUUUUUUUUCUCGGUACGUUUCUGACGAAAAGUGUGUAAAAUUUCAUAGGCUAAAAUUACAUUUUCAGAAAUUAAUCUUCUGGGGACGAAAGCACUUUGGGCAGUGUCAAUACAUCUCCCAAUGACUUCUUGAAGGCGAUUUGCUAUUGUUUUCGCCACAAUUUUGUAAAUAACCGUGCACAAACUAAUAGGUCUAAAAUUAACAAGACUUGUAGGGUUUAGAAUUUUUGGGAUAAGCACAAUAUUCGUUAGAUUAAGAGAGUCAAAAUCCUUACCAUCAUUCACAAUUCCCAAACAGAAUAUUUUGACAUCUUUACCUACAAUGUGCCAAAAUCACUGAAAAAUAGUGUUGGAAAACCGUCAGAGCCUGGUGCUUUAGUAGGCCAUAUUCCUUUCAAAACCGAAUGAACCUCUUCUGUCGUAUAAGCUGAUAAUAAAGAUGUAUUGAUAUCAGAGGAGAUAUUGAUUUCAAUGCCCGUUAGUAGGUGGGAUAAAUCCUCAAUUCCAUUAGAUGAAAAUAACUUCUGAAAAAAUAAAGUAGCAGCCUUGUUGAUCUCUGUUUCGUCAGUAAUUUCUCCUCCUUUAUCUGAUUCCAACCUAGAUAUUGUGUUUAUCCAUCUACGAACUAGGGCAUACUUGUGAAAAAAGACAGAAUUCUUAUCCCCUAAUUGAAGCCAAUUGGCCCGUACCCUUUGUUCCCAAUACAUUUCAUUUUUAUCAAUCUUCAUAUUAAGUUGAAUUUUGGUAUCAAUAAGCUUUGCCAUCGUAUUUUUAUCCUUCUCUUUUGCCAUUAGAUUUUCAAGUUCCUUUGUGAGCUUUCUCUUUAAUCCCUCUUGACCUUUUUUAAUUGCACUUGCCUAUCUCUUCAAUCUGAACUACAACUCAAUUUUUUCAAUUAGCGUUCCUGUUGAUAACUUCCAAGAUUCAUUGAUUUCUUGUUCGUUAGACUCCUCUAUGGUCCACCAUGCCUCUAAUUUAAACCUUGGGAUCCCCAUACAAAUAUUUCCACUAUUUGUAUUAAAAAGGAGUGGACAAUGGUCCAAUAUUGAAUGAGUUAAGUGUUGAAUGCUGCCCUUUGAAAAAAGAUGCAUCCAUUUUUCAUUCGCAAAUCCCCUAUUAAGUCUCUCCUUAAUGUUUGCUUAUGGUAGAUUUCCCCUUUUCCAUGUAAACAAAACCCCCAAAUACCGCUAGUUGGCAUUCCUCUAAAGCCUCACAGAAGGCCUCCAUUCUUCUCUCCUCCCUCGGUAUACCUCCACUUUUUUCAAAUGAAUACAUGAUUUCAUUAAAAUUAUCACUUACCAACCAAGGAUGAUUUUGUUCUUGACCCAAUUUCCUUAACAGAUUCCACGAAACAUUCUUAUUGUUUCUCAUAUUUAAAGGAGAUCCAUGAUUUCUAUUGAUUAUCAAUUGAGACAAAAAUACCUCUACGGAGGGGUUUUUACACAUCCAUUUUGAUUCUAAGGCGACACAAAUCUCUAUUGAUUUCAGAUCUAAUUACUCCUCCAAAAGUAACCCCAAUGGCAUGCAAUAAAUCUUUUUUAUCGAAUUCUGGUAAAGACGGUUCGAUCUUAAUCCAAAAUGGGGAAGAAUUAAGUUAGAUUUGACUUCUUUCCAUCGGUUUAACCAACCGAUCAAAUAGAACAAGAUUUUUCUGAAACAACAAUGGCCGCCCCUCCAUAACUGUCUCUAGAUCUUCUUCAGUAUCAAACACAAUCAAAAAAAGAUUUUGCCUUGCCAAUUGAAUCUCAAAUUUUUUCCUCGUCUUCCAGAUGCUUUUCAUCUGUGCCCUAAAACUAUCCGGAUUGUAGGAUUUUUCUAUCCAUAUUGUGAAAAGUAGAGUUGGUUUCACGUUUGGUACCACUAUCGAACACUUAAUCGAUAAUCGGAUUAGUUCUUUUGCUAGAAGAGAUAUCUCAUCACCUCCCACCCUAUCAUCGCCACCGCUUUCCUCCAUCCCAAGUGAUUAAAUAUAAAUUUAAUAAUAAACAAUAUCUAAUUAAAACUUAAUUUAAAUUACAUAUAUAACAGUGAAAAGAUUUGUCAAAGGUUUGGGUAGCCUGUACUGCCCGAUAGGUCCAACUCAACUUGGAUCGAGUGUGGACAAGGAUUUUCACCUUGGGUCGGUUCAGCUCGGCCUAAAUUCAAUUUAAAUAAGAAAUAAUAUUUAUAAAUUUAAAUUUAAUUAUAAAAUAUAUAAAAUAUAAAAUAAAAAUAUAUUUAAUAUUUUAUUAAUUUUUGAACGGAAAAAAUUAUCUUUGCUUUUUUGGGGAGGGGGGACGGGCUUAGGCUUGAAAAUUUUUUUUUUGAACCGGACCUCGAUCCAACCCAUAGACACCUUUAAGAGUGAAUAGUGACACUUAAAGUUAGAAGGGAUAAAUGAAACUAAGCAUGAUUUAAACAAAAUAAUUAAAAUAUUCAUAUUAUAUACUAUAGAAUAUUUAUUAUUAAAUGUUUAUAAACUGAAAUAUAUAUUUAUUAUUAAAAUAUUAGUAUAAAUUUUUAAUAACAUAUUUAGAAAUUCAUUUAAAAUUUAAAAUUAUUGUUGUUAAAAUUUAUAAUUAAAAUAAUAAAUUAUAUUAAUACAUUAAUAAUUUAUUAUAAAUAAUUAAAUGGAUAUAUUUAUUAAAAAUUUAUUAAUACUAUAACAGUAUAAGGCUUCAUUGAAGUUAAUUUUUAUAUAAAAUUAAAAUUCUUUUUCAGAAAAACAUUUAUCUUAUAAGUUAUUCUUGGUAAAACAAAAUUACCCUAAGAAGUUUGAAGUGAAUAUUUCAAUUUGUAUUCUUGGUUGAAGAUGUGCUUUGUGGGUAAAGCCUCCUCUUAUGCAUCAUGAUAAGCAUAUUGAAAUAGAUUGAAGGUUAAGUAAAGACUAUAUCUGGGAUAAUUGAAGGAUAUCAUAUCAUUAUCUCACUUAUCCCUUACUUAGAGAUUUAUAGGUAAUCUAGCUGUAAGAUUGAAAGAGAGCUUAAAGGCAUAAUUGAGUUAAUAUUAUGAACAGAAUUUUAUACUGGAGAAAGUUCAUACCAAAUCUAAUUCAAUGAUGCUUAAAUUAUUUUCUUAUAGUUUUUAUAAUAACAUUAUUCUAGAUUAGGUCCUAUUAAGAAAUUUUAUCCAUACCAAAUUUUCAAAACCAUUCAACCGACACCUAAUGGUCAAAUUUUCUUUUACCUUUUACCAUUUGUAAAGCAGUGGGAAAAUUUUAUGCCGUCAAAAUAUGUUUUAACCCCCUGCACUUUCAUCUAUUUGAAAUUUAGUUACAAAAUUUAAUCAAAUAUCUGCAGCUGCAAAUUAGAAAUUGCUUUGUUUUUUAUAAUUAAAAAAGAGGUAUGCAGUCUAUAUAUUAUCAUCAUACCAUCACGUUACAAGUUCUCUUAUUUUUUUUCUGAUACCCAGAGGUAAAAAAAAGCUGUAAAGCUGUUGAUCUAAUCAUGAAUAUGAACACUUGUUUAUACGAGAGCUUGUACCCAAACUGAAUCAUAAACUAUUAGUGCGGUCAAGAUUUAGCAACCUCAAUUCAUAUUCACAAACUUUUAAUUAAAUUAUUGACUUUUGAAAUUUCGAGAUUAAAAAUAUUAGUUUUUAUGGGAGCAUACUUUAAUCUUCCAUAGCUAACAAACUUUAGAUAUGUUCAUGGGUUGGGUUAUUUGCCUAAGCCCAAAUGUCCGUCUAAAAUUUGGAAGAGUUUGAACAAAAAUAUUAGGCCCAAAAAAUAGGUUUAGGCAAAAAUAUUAUGCUUGUUUAAAAUAUGAGCCAACUUGGACUUGAACAUUAAAGACUUGAGAUCAACUCAUUUUUAAGUUUAUAAUACUUUAUAUUGUUAUUUUUAUAUAUUAUGUAAUUUAAAACAUAUUAAAAAACAAACUUAUACUAAAUAUAUAAUACUUGUUAUGUACUUAUGAUCACCAACCCGAAAACUAAACAUGAUGGAUACGUGUAAGCCUUACAG